UUUAUUCAGUUUUUCUUUCUUUCUUUAAUAUCCCAAACAUCUACAUCCUAAAAUAUAUGAAUUAAGAUUAAAAUUAAAGGGAUUGAAUCAAAUUAAUAUCCACAUCCAAAUUGGAGAAAGAUCAAAGAUUAAGAUUAAAGGGGAAAUCGUCGGCUGUUUCUAACAUAUGUUCUUAUGUUUUCAGUUUCUAUUUUGACGACGUGUUCCACUUUUGGCGGAAGGAAUAUCGUCGGAUAAACCUCUACCAACACCUACUCAAAAAUCAGGGGAUGUAGUUUGGGCAAUAUGUUGGAAUAGGCUUCCUGCUUGGCUGAUUGAUGCGAAACGAGAGUCUCCGUCUUAUGUAUGUUCCUAAUACGGUUUGUGUUAUGUUUUAUGGCGAUUCGAAAUGAGGGAUACAGAAUUAUGCAUGGAUCAAGGGUGAAAAGAUGUUUCUUUUCUUGGAGUGUAUAGAUAGGUUGCUACAAAUCAUUUGACUAAAAAGAGUGCAUAUGUUGAAAGGAGAAGGUGUUUCCAGUUUAGAUGGAAGUUUAAGGACACACAUCAUAGGAGCAGUCCCUUCAAUAAUUAUAUUUCUUAUACAUUAGAGAUCACAAAGGUGUCUGCUUUCAAGAUGGUUGAUCCAUACAAACUUUGAAGUCCUACAAAGCCGUUAUCGCUAAUGAUAUUGAUGUUAUGAAUUCUUUUUUGUUCUAGGUGUCUUUGUGGUGCAUUUCUCCAGUGACCACCUCUUUGAGGUUUAACAGUGUAGGAAGGUGUAGAAAGUAUGUUAUUUUAGUUAUAUUUACUUUUGUUUUACUGAGUAUCAAACAUAUUUGUGUUAAGAUUUUGUUAACUUCUUACAUAUGGUCGUUACUUUAUUUUGUUUUA